rnacentral:rRNA from 1 species
GGUUAAGCGACUAAGCGUACACGGUGGAUGCCCUGGCAGUCAGAGGCGAUGAAGGACGUGCUAAUCUGCGAUAAGCGUCGGUGAGGUGAUAUGAACCGUUAUAACCGGCGAUUUCCGAAUGGGGAAACCCAGUGUGUUUCGACACACUAUCAUUAACUGAAUCCAUAGGUUAAUGAGGCGAACCGGGGGAACUGAAACAUCUAAGUACCCCGAGGAAAAGAAAUCAACCGAGAUUCCCCCAGUAGCGGCGAGCGAACGGGGAGGAGCCCAGAGCCUGAAUCAGUGUGUGUGUUAGUGGAAGCGUCUGGAAAGGCGCGCGAUACAGGGUGACAGCCCCGUACACAAAAAUGCACAUGCUGUGAGCUCGAUGAGUAGGGCGGGACACGUGGUAUCCUGUCUGAAUAUGGGGGGACCAUCCUCCAAGGCUAAAUACUCCUGACUGACCGAUAGUGAACCAGUACCGUGAGGGAAAGGCGAAAAGAACCCCGGCGAGGGGAGUGAAAAAGAACCUGAAACCGUGUACGUACAAGCAGUGGGAGCCUCUUAAUGGGGUGACUGCGUACCUUUUGUAUAAUGGGUCAGCGACUUAUAUUCUGUAGCAAGGUUAACCGAAUAGGGGAGCCGAAGGGAAACCGAGUCUUAACUGGGCGUUAAGUUGCAGGGUAUAGACCCGAAACCCGGUGAUCUAGCCAUGGGCAGGUUGAAGGUUGGGUAACACUAACUGGAGGACCGAACCGACUAAUGUUGAAAAAUUAGCGGAUGACUUGUGGCUGGGGGUGAAAGGCCAAUCAAACCGGGAGAUAGCUGGUUCUCCCCGAAAGCUAUUUAGGUAGCGCCUCGUGAAUUCAUCUCCGGGGGUAGAGCACUGUUUCGGCAAGGGGGUCAUCCCGACUUACCAACCCGAUGCAAACUGCGAAUACCGGAGAAUGUUAUCACGGGAGACACACGGCGGGUGCUAACGUCCGUCGUGAAGAGGGAAACAACCCAGACCGCCAGCUAAGGUCCCAAAGUCAUGGUUAAGUGGGAAACGAUGUGGGAAGGCCCAGACAGCCAGGAUGUUGGCUUAGAAGCAGCCAUCAUUUAAAGAAAGCGUAAUAGCUCACUGGUCGAGUCGGCCUGCGCGGAAGAUGUAACGGGGCUAAACCAUGCACCGAAGCUGCGGCAGCGACACUAUGUGUUGUUGGGUAGGGGAGCGUUCUGUAAGCCUGUGAAGGUGGCCUGUGAGGGUUGCUGGAGGUAUCAGAAGUGCGAAUGCUGACAUAAGUAACGAUAAAGCGGGUGAAAAGCCCGCUCGCCGGAAGACCAAGGGUUCCUGUCCAACGUUAAUCGGGGCAGGGUGAGUCGACCCCUAAGGCGAGGCCGAAAGGCGUAGUCGAUGGGAAACAGGUUAAUAUUCCUGUACUUGGUGUUACUGCGAAGGGGGGACGGAGAAGGCUAUGUUGGCCGGGCGACGGUUGUCCCGGUUUAAGCGUGUAGGCUGGUUUUCCAGGCAAAUCCGGAAAACCAAGGCUGAGGCGUGAUGACGAGGCACUACGGUGCUGAAGUGACAAAUGCCCUGCUUCCAGGAAAAGCCUCUAAGCAUCAGGUAACAUCAAAUCGUACCCCAAACCGACACAGGUGGUCAGGUAGAGAAUACCAAGGCGCUUGAGAGAACUCGGGUGAAGGAACUAGGCAAAAUGGUGCCGUAACUUCGGGAGAAGGCACGCUGAUAUGUAGGUGAAGCGACUUGCUCGUGGAGCUGAAAUCAGUCGAAGAUACCAGCUGGCUGCAACUGUUUAUUAAAAACACAGCACUGUGCAAACACGAAAGUGGACGUAUACGGUGUGACGCCUGCCCGGUGCCGGAAGGUUAAUUGAUGGGGUUAGCGGUAACGCGAAGCUCUUGAUCGAAGCCCCGGUAAACGGCGGCCGUAACUAUAACGGUCCUAAGGUAGCGAAAUUCCUUGUCGGGUAAGUUCCGACCUGCACGAAUGGCGUAAUGAUGGCCAGGCUGUCUCCACCCGAGACUCAGUGAAAUUGAACUCGCUGUGAAGAUGCAGUGUACCCGCGGCAAGACGGAAAGACCCCGUGAACCUUUACUAUAGCUUGACACUGAACAUUGAGCCUUGAUGUGUAGGAUAGGUGGGAGGCUUUGAAGUGUGGACGCCAGUCUGCAUGGAGCCGACCUUGAAAUACCACCCUUUAAUGUUUGAUGUUCUAACGUUGGCCCCUAAUCGGGGUUGCGGACAGUGUCUGGUGGGUAGUUUGACUGGGGCGGUCUCCUCCUAAAGAGUAACGGAGGAGCACGAAGGUUGGCUAAUCCUGGUCGGACAUCAGGAGGUUAGUGCAAUGGCAUAAGCCAGCUUGACUGCGAGCGUGACGGCGCGAGCAGGUGCGAAAGCAGGUCAUAGUGAUCCGGUGGUUCUGAAUGGAAGGGCCAUCGCUCAACGGAUAAAAGGUACUCCGGGGAUAACAGGCUGAUACCGCCCAAGAGUUCAUAUCGACGGCGGUGUUUGGCACCUCGAUGUCGGCUCAUCACAUCCUGGGGCUGAAGUAGGUCCCAAGGGUAUGGCUGUUCGCCAUUUAAAGUGGUACGCGAGCUGGGUUUAGAACGUCGUGAGACAGUUCGGUCCCUAUCUGCCGUGGGCGCUGGAGAACUGAGGGGGGCUGCUCCUAGUACGAGAGGACCGGAGUGGACGCAUCACUGGUGUUCGGGUUGUCAUGCCAAUGGCACUGCCCGGUAGCUAAAUGCGGAAGAGAUAAGUGCUGAAAGCAUCUAAGCACGAAACUUGCCCCGAGAUGAGUUCUCCCUGAGACUUAGAGUCUCCUGAAGGAACGUUGAAGACGACGACGUUGAUAGGCCGGGUGUGUAAGCGCAGCGAUGCGUUGAGCUAACCGGUACUAAUGAACCGUGAGGCUUAACCUUACAACGCCGAAGAUGUUUUG